AACGCGAAGAACCUUACCUACCCUUGACAUCCAGAGAAUCCUGCAGAGAUGCGGGAGUGCCGAAAGGAAUUCUGAGACAGGUGCUGCAUGGCUGUCGUCAGCUCGUGUUGUGAGAUGUUGGGUUAAGUCCCGUAACGAGCGCAACCCUUAUCCUUAGUUGCCAACAUGUAAUGGUGGGGACUCUAAGGAGACUGCCGGUGAUGAACCGGAGGAAGGCGGGGACGACGUCAAGUCAUCAUGGCCUUUAUGGGUAGGGCUACACACGUGCUACAAUGGUCAGUACAGAGGGCGGCCAACCCGCGAGGGGGAGCCAAUCCCGAAAAGCUGAUCGUAGUCCGGAUCGGAGUCUGCAACUCGACUCCGUGAAGUCGGAAUCGCUAGUAAUCGCGAAUCAGAAUGUCGCGGUGAAUACGUUCCCGGGCCUUGUACACACCGCUCGUC
rnacentral:rRNA from 1 species